ACGCUCGACACCUACGAGGCAGCAGUGGGGAAUAUUGCACAAUGGGGGAAACCCUGAUGCAGNGACGCCGCGUGAGUGAAGAAGUAUUUCGGUAUGUAAAGCUCUAUCAGCAGGGAAGAGAAUGACGGUACCUGACUAAGAAGCCCCGGCUAACUACGUCNCNNNCGCGAGUAUNGCGGCGUGNGAGACG
rnacentral:rRNA from 1 species